ACUCACAACCAUAUAUCCUGGCCCUUCAUUUAUUUAUUUCCUUUUCCUUUUUGUGCUCAUUUCUCUUCGUCUGUUGUUUUAUUUCACCCAUUGAGUUUCUAUUUGCAGAAGAAGGGAAGAGCUUUGUCAACCCUCGUCUCAAUUUGAGUGCCGAUUGUGAUAUCUUGUACCCAUUUUGUUUUUCUACAAUAUUUAAUAAUGGAGCAACCCACCAAGGAGAAGGAACCUUCCAAAGAGGUUGCGGAGAAGAAUGGAGAUGAACAAACUCCCAACGGCCAUCACGUAGACGGAGAACAUGACGGAGGUCUUUUCCAGAUUUCCGUCAAGCUUCCACAUGAGCCCUACAACAUCCAAGUUACGGUAUCGAGCCAGGAACAAGUCCAGGAUGUUCGUCAGUCGAUCGUUGAGCUGCCGGGUACCUUUCAGUACACGAGCUUUCACCUGGAGCAUAAUGGAACCAGGAUAAAUGACUACAUUGAACUGUCCGAGGUCAAGGACAUCCAGUCGAAUUCGGAAGUCGUCCUGGUCGAGGACCCCUACACUGAGAAGGAGGCUCGGAUGCAUGUGAUUCGGAUAAGGGAGCUGAUUGGCGCC
rnacentral:sRNA from 2 species